rnacentral:rRNA from 1 species
CGUGUGCUUACAAGUAGUCAGAGCCCGUUAAUGGGUGAUGGCGUGCCUUUUGUAGAAUGAACCGGCGAGUUACGAUUUGAUGCAAGGUUAAGCAGUAAAUGUGGAGCCGUAGCGAAAGCGAGUCUGAAUAGGGCGUUUAGUAUUUGGUCGUAGACCCGAAACCAGGUGAUCUACCCUUGGUCAGGUUGAAGUUCAGGUAACACUGAAUGGAGGACCGAACCGACUUACGUUGAAAAGUGAGCGGAUGAACUGAGGGUAGCGGAGAAAUUCCAAUCGAACCUGGAGAUAGCUGGUUCUCUCCGAAAUAGCUUUAGGGCUAGCCUCAAGUGAUGAUUAUUGGAGGUAGAGCACUGUUUGGACGAGGGGCCCCUCUCGGGUUACCGAAUUCAGACAAACUCCGAAUGCCAAUUAAUUUAACUUGGGAGUCAGAACAUGGGUGAUAAGGUCCGUGUUCGAAAGGGAAACAGCCCAGACCACCAGCUAAGGUCCCAAAAUAUAUGUUAAGUGGAAAAGGAUGUGGCGUUGCCCAGACAACUAGGAUGUUGGCUUAGAAGCAGCCAUCAUUUAAAGAGUGCGUAAUAGCUCACUAGUCGAGUGACACUGCGC